rnacentral:rRNA from 1 species
GACGAACGCUGGCGGCGUGCUUAACACAUGCAAGUCGAACGGAAAGGCCCUGCUUUUGUGGGGUGCUCGAGUGGCGAACGGGUGAGUAACACGUGAGUAACCUGCCCUUGACUUUGGGAUAACUUCAGGAAACUGGGGCUAAUACCGGAUAGGAGCUCCUGCUGCAUGGUGGGGGUUGGAAAGUUUCGGCGGUUGGGGAUGGACUCGCGGCUUAUCAGCUUGUUGGUGGGGUAGUGGCUUACCAAGGCUUUGACGGGUAGCCGGCCUGAGAGGGUGACCGGCCACAUUGGGACUGAGAUACGGCCCAGACUCAUACGGGAGGCAACAGUGGGGAAUAGUGCACAAUGGGCGGAAGCCUGAUGCAGCAACGCCGCGUGCGGGAUGACGGCCUUCGGGUUGUAAACCGCUUUCGCCUGUGACGAAGCGUGAGGGACGGUAAUGGGUAAAGAAGCACCGGCUAACUACGU